GGAGGAGCUGCUACUCAAGAAAGAGGAAGAGGCGGGCUUUUCCGACCCCCACGCCCCUGGGAUGGUAAAGCUGCAGCCCACCUCGUCCUGGGGCAGAGUCUCCUUGCCUGCCUGCUUGCAUCGCUCACCAGCGUCCUAUCCUAACACCUCUGUUUCGUGCCCAUCACUUUGUCUCUCGCUGAAUUCCUUCUGCGUGGAGACAUAGAGAACCUCAACCUCAGUGAGUCCAGACGCAGGAGGAGAGCGUUUCCCAGACUCCUUGCCCCUGAGUGAGGAUACGUGCCUGGUUCUGGCCAAGGGGCUGUGGCUGAUACAGCAGGUGUCACUCUGAGUCAAAGCAAAGGAUGUGCAGACAUGAAGUCUCCACGCUCUCUCUUCUUCUCCCCUUGUCUCAAGGUGUCAGAGGCACCAGCUUAUGAGGGAUGUAUGAUUGUCAGCACCUCCACUUUACAGAAGAGGACACCUGGGUAUGAUGAUAAGCUGCCCAAGGUCCCAUAUCUGGUGCUUCAUAAUCCUGGCAAAGCCACUAAGCUGAGCAGAGCUGCAGAAAUUCCCUGGCUUUCCUACUGGAAGAUGUCGAUCAAUGAGGGCGCUCGCGGCCUUUGAUGUCAGGCAUCCACGCCCGCUUCUGUAAAGACUUUCGGCUCCACAAGAGAACGGGAAGUCACUGUGAAGAAAGAGGCAGGCGAUGUAACCGGAAAAGCGCGGGUUUGAUGUCAAACAGACCUGCGUGGUUCCACCGCUUUCCGACUGUGUGACACCUCCCCCCACCCCCACCGGCCCAGUUGCUCUUUGAACCCAAGUCUUGGAAAAUGGAACCAAUAAUACCUGUUCUUCAAGACUGUUUCUGCUGGAAGCUCCAAGAUUCAUCUGAAGGCGUGAUCACAUCCUCGAUGUUGAGUGGACCAUGAGCCGGCUGCCAGAGACAGGGUUCCAAGCCGGGCCAGGCCCAUCCCAAUGCCCACCCGAAAAGACGGGACAGGGGAAAGAAAGAAACAAAAUCCUGGGGCUCCAUUGGCUUUCUUUUUGACUCCAGCUGAAGUUGCUGCAUAGUGUGGCCUUGCCAGUCCUCGCCUUGAAAAGGCUGGAAGCGACUGACGUGAUGGAUCAUCUAAUCCCACAGCCUCAUUUUGCAGAGGACCCCGAGCCUCGACUUGGCCAAGGUCACACAGCUGGGCCACACCCAUGGCGUAUGGUUUUCAUAUGGAAUCGGAGCUGCAGUUGCCGGCCUAUGCCACAGCCACAGCAAGGUAGGAUCUGAACCAAGUCUUUGACCUACACCACAUCUCAUGGCAAUUCCAGAUCCCUGGACCCACUGAGUGAGGCCAGGGAUUGAACACGCACCCUUAUGGAUACUAGUUGGAUCACAACGGAACUCCCUGAAAAAUCAAGGUCUUUAAAGCAAUUCAUCAACCCCACCAACAUCUUGGCAUAAGAAAAUUGAUUCUGUAAGUCAAAAGAACUUAUAACAUGGUAUAUUGGGAGGAUGGCAGGGCUUGGUAAGUGGUAGCAACGCAGCUGGUAGAUUUUUCUUUGUUGUGUCCUUGUCCUUACGCUCUUUUUAGCCACAUUUUCAUUCAGGAUUCUUGGGUUGGAAGCAACAGAAAUGGACUCUUUUGGCCUUAAGCAAAAAGAAAAUUUGUUGAAAGGGCAUGGAGGAGUUCAUAGGAUUGACUAGAAGUUUGGAGAAGUAGGCUCAGGAGUCAAGGCAUUUAUAGAGGAGGGUAGGGUAGAGAGGUGAUAAAAAUAAUGCAACAGUCUUAUUUGGAAAUUGUACUGGCAUGUAAGAGUUUCAUCUUUCCUCCUCCCUUCCCCUCUCUCUCUUUCUGCCACUUCAUUCGAGAUUCCAAUUUCAGCGAAGGAGCAUCCAAUUGGCCUGUCUUGGUCAGAUUCCCACCACCCCCAUGGUUAGGGGAACACAGCAUAUUCGAAAUGGCAUUCCCACGAGGUACAUUCCAUGGAAAAGUAAUACCACAAAGAAAAUACGGACACAGUUAUCAAAGGAAGAUAAAACAGGUGCUGGGUAGCCAACAAUAGCCUAUUUCCACUAUAUCCUUUAAAAAAAAUCCCAGUAACUCUUCUAUGAUUACUGAUGUUUCAGGAGAGAAAUUUAACGAUGGAAGAGUGUAUACAUAGUGAUGAAAAGAAUGGGAGGAUUUAUAAGAUACAAGUCAUUUUCUUUGAGUUGUGGGACAAUGGUUGGGUCCAUUUUUCUUCUGUUGUUUUUUCCUAUAGAGCACAUUUAUAACCUUUUAAAAGUAAACUGUAUUUUCUACUUUAAGAUGAGUGAAAUGAGGGGGGAGUGUCCUUUUGACUGGGGACAUAGUCACUAGUUAGUCUAUGUUAAAAACAGAAGCAUACGUUCCUCUCGAGGGGCAACAGUGUUCUUAUACAUUAAACUCUCAACAGAAACCAAAAGAACCACCACCAAAAAAAUCCCACCCAGUUUGGAAAGGACUUGUGCUUGUGGGUCGGGGGCAGAAGGAAGCAAUUUCCCUCCAUUUUCUGCCUGAGCAGGCCUUUUGCACUUUGAUAUUCGUUUCACUAAUAAGGUGUUUCAUUAUUUCUCCCACAAAAAGAGCUGGUGCUGUUAUGAGAUGCUGUUGAAGACUCUGGUUUGCCCAGAUGUGCCGCAGUGAAAACAGCCUUUCUCUGACGUGCAUGACUUGUGAGGAUGAUGGGACCUGUGGGAAGAGGGGAUCCUUUUUCAGAGUUUGGAAAGAGAGGCAAAAUAACGCCAUCUGCCCUGCAUGGAUGACAGAAACACGUUCUUCCCUAAUCAGUGGGUCACUCACUUCCGCACUAUGUUGCAGGGAAGCAUCAUCUGAUUCCAAGCCUAAGGCUGGGUCAUCCGCGGCACUGACUUCUCCCGACCCUUCUCCGAGCUUCCCGUGCCAGUUUUCAUCAUCAAAUUUCUCUGCUCCCUUGGACCAGCGGAAAAGAAGUUAUGAGCUCUCUCCAUCAUUCGCCGGUCUCUUCGGCCCUUCCUCCUUUGAAGUUUUCUUAUUCGGGGUCUUUUUUUCGCUUCUUCUCCAUGUUUCAUCCUCUCUCACUGUAACCUUUUUAUCUCUGGAGAGUUCUCUCUGUGCCUCUGGGCCCUUCUCUUUCUAGUUGGUUCUCAGAACCCAUUCUGGGAUUCUAUUUCAGUCCAUCCGUCUCUCCAACAGACCACGGGUGAAACCAGGGCCGGUAAUCAGUCCCAGCUGCUGGAGGCGUCCGCUCUGGGUCGGCCCCACGUUUGUGGGCUGAUGUUUUGCUUCCCAUAAUGCUCUGGGAGUUCUGCUGCUCAGAGCUUGGCUUGUGCUUUUUCUUCUCCUGCCAAGGGGCCCUGCUUCCAAAACCCAGAUUAGAAAACAUGGGACGUUAAAAAAAAAAAAAAAAAA
rnacentral:lncRNA from 1 species